rnacentral:hammerhead_ribozyme from 1 species
GCACUGCUGCCGAGUCCCAAACAGAACGAAACGGCUGUCCAAUGU